rnacentral:rRNA from 1 species
GCCGGCAGCUAGCUCUCUGCAACUCUCACAUGGUUGCCCACUGAAGCUAAGCAGGGUGUGCCCGGUCAGUACCUGGAUGGGAGACCACAUGGGAAAGCUAGGUUGCUGCCGGAA